GUUGAUGCAAAAAAAUAAAAAACUAGUGGGCUGACGGGUCAGAAAACUUAACGUGGUUUAAUUGGUUUUUCAAGUCUGCUAUCAAUAAGUGGCAUUUGUGUUUGUCUAUAUCCAUCUCCAUCAGUGCAAGGCAAGGAUCACAUGUAAAAGGAUAAUGGACGUAUGUCAUGAUAAGACACAUAAGCUAUCCAAGUUUGCAACGGAGGAAGAUUUUAUUAGCCGCAUGCCAGAUAAUGUCAUUACUAAUGUUUUAGAUUGUUUGCCAAUACAAGAUUCGGUGAAGACUGUUAUCCUGUCCAAAAAGUGGAGGCUCAAGUGGACUUUGCUAACUCAACUCGUAUUUGAUGGCAAGUUCUAUAAGUACUUUCUAGGACCUGAUAAGGAACAAAAGUAUAAUGGGAGGGAUAUAAUAGGCUAAAUACGAGAAAGAUGUACCACCUCCUGCACUUUCUUCCUCAUAUUUUGUCUGCAGCUCAAUGGAACAGCUUCAACUGCGGACUGUGGUGUUUGAGCGUGUAAGAGGUUCAGAGAAUGAAGUGUAUUUGAUAAAGUCUUUACUUGCUUGUUCCCCUCUGCUAAGUAAGAUUAAUAUUUGGCUCAAAUCAUCUUCAAUGGUUGGUGGGUCUGAUGGAAAGUUUAUGUUUGCAUGCAAGUUAUUGAAGCUCUAUCGAGCCUCUCCCAUUGUCGAUAUAAAUCUCUACUAGUUUUAGUAUUCUAAACUUAUCUUCUGUUACAUGUGGUUUUGUGCGAGUCUAGUAAACUUGAUAUGGCAUAUGCAGAUGCACUCUUUGAUAUGCAAUUUAAGUGAAACUGUCGUUUAGCUAUGGCUAUGGUUCCUGUUUUGUUACACUGUUUUGUAUCUUAUGAUUUGUGGUUGUAGAGUCUUGUUGGUGUUGAAGCACCGUUUG